CGUUCGUUUUACAUAUAAUCUAAAUUAAGUAACAACUUUGAAAAUCCAUUUCUAUUUUUAUUUUAAACAAAUGGGAAACCAAAGUAAAACGUGUAUACAUAUCAAUUUAACGCUAUAUUUAUACUACACUAAAUACACAUCUCAGUACGACUGCAGAUAGGUUAAUAAAGGGUUUAUAAUUAUAAUCUUUGUGAUUUUGUUACGGAAAAUACAUAAAAUAUUCAUCCCCAGACUUUAAAUUACAAAUAGAAACACGUCUAUAAUUCGACACGGACUGAUGCAGUCAAAUGUGUAACUGUGUUGUAAACUGUACAGCGAGUUUACGGUCACAUUGCUAUCCAGAUAUAUUCAACAUCGAUGCCUGGUAUUUUCGAAUUGUAUACCUAACAACAAUCUUCAGCCUACUCGGUUUGCUUCUUGAGGGCCAAAGACAAGAUCGCUGUAUGGUGGAUGAUACUGGCCAAAAUAUUGAUGACAUCCAGUGAGAUUUGUCUCAGUCAGUCGUCACUCUGGGGGCCGCAGCUCUGAAAUGGUUACUUCUGCUGGUACAGCUGGCAGACUGUAGAACAUCUAAAGUAAUGUUGAAAGACAUGAUCAUUGUGCAUAAUAACGAUGGUGGUGAUGAUGAUGGUGGUGAUGAUAGCGAUGAUGAUGGCCCAUGGCUUGUCCUGGUUCACUUUUACCCAUUUAACACAGAUCAACGAUGUUAACGUCUAACAGGUUAUUUUGUUUUCAAAACUGAAGACACCAAUUUCGGCAGCACAAGAUCUCGGAUUAUUGUAACAGAUGAUCACAGGCGUGCGUAACAUAUGGUAGCAGUUAGGCGUGUGUAACAGAUGGUAGCAGUCAGGCGUGUGUAACAGAUGGUAGCAGUCAGGCGUGUGUAACAGAUAGUAACAGUUAUAACAGAAUAUCAAAGAUUAAGAAAGGAAACAAAUAGUGACAGCAGACGACAGUAUGUACUUAGUGAAAAACCUCGUUUUUAUGUAGUUUCGAUUUUACUGAUCUCUACAUUUUGACAUGUGAAAAUAUACAGACAAACGAGCAAAACAAUAUGUGUUAUUUGCCUUGCACAGUGAGAGAUGUGCAGAUGGUGCAGGAUGUUGGCUUCUAACACAGUGGAUAUACAUGAGAACAUCGUUCAGCAAGAUCAAAAUAUUUUCACAAAACAGAGUUACAGACUAUGGCAAUGAGGCUUGGUUUCUCUGAAUGAAACACAGAAAGCAGACGUGAUCGACUUAGCAGAUACGAAUUGGCGCUUUUUCCAGAUACUUGGAACUCUUCUAAAUAAAGAAUAUGAAAGCGGGGCUAGGCGUCUGUGAAUGAAAUACAGGGGGUAGACGUAUCGGACAAGCGACAACUUAGAAAAAGGUCGUCCUCCACGCAGAUGUCAAAGAAUGUUAAAGAAAGUACUUAGGUAGUCCUCGACAAUAGAAGGAAGGAAAGAACGUGGCGGCGGCAGUCCAGAAACAAGCAUGACUAAACAGGAAUAACAACUGAAGUCUGUUAUGGAUUGAAAUUUGACUUUACUAAAUGAAACAUAGAAAGCAGACUGAUGCAAUCGACUUAGCAGACACAAAUGGCGCCCUUUCUAGGGACUUGGAAAACUCCCAAAUAAAGAAUAUGAACGCAAGACUAGGAUUUGGCGACUGAAAUACAGGGGGCAGACGAAUCGACUUAAGAAAAACUUAAUAAAAGUUGUUCUUCGCAGACAUGAAAGAAUGUAGGAGGAAGCACGUAGCGAUGUAGUCCACGAAAAUAAUAGGCCAGCAAAGAAAGAACAGUGUCGGUUGUCCCAGAAACUAUUGACGACAGCUCAAAUUUAGAUGACCAGAAGAGGAGGAAAACAGAGGAAUCAAAGAAAA
rnacentral:lncRNA from 1 species